UUUCAUCCUUCGGGAUGCACAGCGGUUCCUCAAUAUGUCAGCUGCCUGCCCUGUUCCUGGGACAGGGAAGGGACAUCAUUCUUGCUCAUGAGGAUGCUUCCAUGCCACAUUCCUUAAACACGAGGGGCUGGGGAAAGGCUCUCAGGGAGCAAGUGGAGGGUGAGUUCCUGGGUGUCCGCAGAGCACAGGUGGCUGACUCGCCAAAGGGGGCUCUGGGAGGACAAAAAUGGGCUCUUCCAUCAGCACCUUAAGUGGUAGUAUAAUUUUUUUCCCUCUCUAGCUGCAGACAAGCUAAUUAUAGUUGGUGGCAGGGUGAAGAGCCCAGUGCUGGUCUAUUUUGGUCUGAGCCGAGGUCUAAUAGUGGAGCCAGUACCAUUCUUGAUUUUUCAUAGUACUUCAGCGUCUUGGCUGCAGUUAAAAAUAAGCCUGCUUGUACUUAGAAUCUGUUCCCUUCAUAUGGCUUUAAAUUGAGGAUCUGGUUGCAUAUUAAAGGUGAACUGCAGAUUUACAGGAGAAACGAAGUGAAGCGGGGAGGGUUAAGUGCUAAACAGUGACAGGGAGGGGCCAGGGAUUUAGCUCAAUGGUUCCACCACCUGCUGCACAAGUGCAAGGACCCGAGUUCGAUCCCCGGUACCAAAAACAAAACAAACAGUGACAGGGAGUCAUUGGGGAAUGGAAAAGCAAAUACCCUGAAAAUAAUCCACGUUCCAUGUUACAUUUUAAAACAUGAGCAGAUAAAAACUUCUUCACUCGCACCUAGUGGCUUCUGAAAUCAUUUCAUUUCUCUGCAUAUGUAGAUCUGUGUUAUUAAAAUUUGGGGCAUUUAUUUGCAUAAGUGUGCCUUAGAACAUCACUGUUUUGUAUUAAAGGAAAUAAGACCAGCUGGAGUUUGUGAAAGGUCUUCAUGCAAGAUUUAUUUAAAUAUUAGUGUUAUCGGGGGCCAGGGAUUUAGCUGAGUGACAUCACACCUGCCUUGCAAGCACAAGGUCCUGAGUUUGAUCCCCGAUACCAGAAAAAAAAACUAGUGUUAUCACAGUAGCACUUGUUAUUUAUUAGGCAAACAUUUAUUAGCACAUACUAUGUGCCAAGCACUUUAACGCAGCCUCAUCCUGGUGACAGCCCUAUGGCAUAGGGCUGCUGGGAUGGACCUCAGUCUACAGAUGGCUUGGUAGGCAGUGGUCAUGGGCCAGCGCCAGCCCUGGACAGAGCCUCUGCACCACGGCGGAGCCGGGCGACACUCGUGAUCUCAGGCUGAUGUGCAGAAAGAGCGGAUCCAGCAAAGCUAUUGCUGGUGCCCUGACCCAAGUGCUCCAGGACUCCAGCCCUGGUAGCCGGGGCAAGACCAUCACUGGGGAUGCUGGGUGCUCACGCAUCAUGUGCUCUCCCCUCCUAACCGCACCACGAUCUCCCAUGUAACCGGAGGAGGCCCCACCUCUUCAGCACCAGGCCCUGGGGAGGUGGGGUUCAAGAGGAAGGAGGUGUUCAGAGGCUGAAGUUGAAGACAGCGUCUUGAAGCUCUUUGCCCCUCCUCUCCAGAGUCCCUGGCUCUGUCAACCCUGGUCGGGGGCGGCACGGGCAGCUCACCCCGACCUCUCCAGGGCGGCACCAGCUGUGGCUUGGACUAGGCUCUCCCGGUACUCCAGGUCAGGUCCUGACAGAUCCCUUUCUACUGACAAGAAUGGAUUCCGUCACCAACUGUGGAUGUUCAGUUGGAUGUCCCUAAAACCCUGGAAACUGUUCUUCUAAGUAUUUCCUCUGGGAUCUUUUUAUUCUAUUAAUUUGCUUUGAAAGACCUACUUCUCCAGUAAUAAAAGGUAACUGCAGCCCAGCCCCUGCUUGAAUGAUCACAAAUCCCAAAUUAAUUGCUUAUUAAUGUUGCUUUAUCAGUGUCUUUUCAUGCACCAUAAGGUAAUGGACUCCGUUAGAUCUGGAGAGGGACAGAACAAGAAGAUGAGAAAGGAAACCUUACUUUUGUCACUUUCUUGCCUCCCGGGAAAACAUCAUUAUGUCUUUAAGCCUAGCGAUGUAAGUAACCUAGGCGUUCACUCUAAGGGCUUAGGGGUGCUCAGCAAAUCCCCCCCACCCCAGAAUGUCCUGUUCCCCUGUCCCAAAUAGCCAAGUUCUAAUUCUAGGAUUCCCGGGGUCCCUCAUUUCCUGAGUGAUCAUCCUAUCUCAGAAUCCUCUCUACAUUAUAUUGCUUAAGAAUAUGUCAGGUGUGGUGGUGUGCGCCUGCAAUCCCAGCGCCGGAGAGGCUGAGGCCAGAGAAGCACCGUGAGUUCAAGACCAGCCUGAACUACAAAGCAAGACCCUGUCUCAAAAAACAAAAAAAAGCAGCCUUCCUGGAAGCAUACAUCCUUUUUAGCAACACUCCUUGACUGCUGUUUUGCAUAUGAAAUAACGUUUUAAAAAUCCAGCCAAAAAGGAAAGUGAGAAAAAGCUAUCCACGCUAAGGAAAGAUCUUAACAGAGUACUGAAUCAGCUACCAGGUGGCCAAACUCCUGACUCCAGAAACCCACAGACUGAUCGUCAGCUAGGAAACAACACCUGGUGCCCCGGGUCCCUGUCACCACCUGCAGGACGUCGGAGCACCAUCCCCCAGAGGAAACUGCCCACUGAAGUCGCUCUGCCCUUUCCUGGCUUGCAUUUCUUCCCUCACAUCAGAAGUCUCCAGGGCCAGUGAUUUAGCUCAGUGGUUCCCCCACCUGCCUCGCAAGCCAGUGUUCGAUCUCCAGUACCAAAAAAAGAAGUCUCCAACCCAUGAGCAGCUCAGAGACUGAGAACUUGGUGAGGAAAUUCGGAAUCCUGGAGAGAAGAGAAUCAUUUGCUGAGCAGCACCGCCCCUUCCCAACACCAUAUGCGCACUCACACACCCUCCUGCCCAGGAAACUGCCCUGCAGGCCCCUGGCCCUGGGAGCCCCGCACGCACGGCUACGUCACCGCUGCCAUCCAGACACACCGGUCUGCCCCAUCUAGCGGCCACCAACAGGAGUGGCCCAACCUCAGUAACUAAAGCUGACUCUCUUGGAAAGAAUGUGCUGGUUCCUGCAACCCCGCUGGCCUGCAGCCUCCAGAACCAGGCCUGGUGGAGAAGCCGAGUUCUUGAGCGCUGAGCUCACCGGCCCGGCUAGGGGACUGCGGAGCCUCCUCGGCCCUGUGCGGGGAGGGCCUGGCAUGGGGGACAGGCGUGCCCUGGCCCCGGGGCACUUGCAAGCACCAUCAUUUGUGGGCCCCGGGACGGGGCCACUGCCCCUCUGGACAGUCUCCUGGAGGCAGAGACAUCAUGCAUUGGCCAGUUAUCCAGCAGGAGCUGAUCGGCCGUGGGCCACCCAGGUUGGAGGGACGUCCCAGAGCCUCUCCCCUCCCAGCCACCACGCAGAGGGAUCAGAGACGGACCACAGUGCCCUGGGGGGUGGCCCCAGCUUGCUGCUGUCUCGGUCACGGCCGCUCAAAGGCCACCCUGCCCUCACCCGCAUGCAGCCCCAUAGGUGGACAGACUGGGAAGGCAGGAGAGGGUGCCGCUUAGCCUGUGGGGCUCCUGGCCUGGCGCUGCCCCCUGCUGGCUGUGUGUCCUUGGCAAAAUUAUUAAGCUGUUUCCUUUCUCUGGCUGAUCAAAGAUGACAGCGAAUGCUUACACAUUUUUUUAAAUUACAGUCAAAAAUAUGCAUCCCUCUCAGAAUCCUCCCCUUCACUUCAGACACACUUAUCCCAUCGUUCUUGCCACUCUCCGCGGCAGCUCUGGAGUCCCCUUUCCUGAGUCUUUAGUGGCGUGUGGAUGCAGGACAUUGAACUUUCGUGAUCCUUGUGACUUUGGGGAAGAGAUGGAAGUCAAAUGGUGCCAGAUCCGGUGAAUACGGUGGAUGAGGACGCAGCGUCAUGUUAUUUGACAGAAACUGCUGUAAACGUUUGAACAAAGAACAGUGAUCAAGAAAUAGUGGGAGGGCCGGGGAUUUAGCUCAGUGGUUCCAGCGCCUGCUGCGCAAGUUCAAUCCCCGGUACCAAAAAAAAAAAAAAAA